rnacentral:rRNA from 1 species
CCUACGGGAGGCAGCAGUGGGGAAUUUUGGACAAUGGGCGCAAGCCUGAUCCAGCAAUGCCGCGUGAGUGGAGAAGGCCUUCGGGUUGUAAAGCUCUUUUGUCAGGGAAGAAACGGUGGGAGCUAAUAUCUCCCGCUAAUGACGGUACCUGAAGAAUAAGCACCGGCUAACUACGUGCCAGCAGCCGCGGUAAUACGUAGGGUGCAAGCGUUAAUCGGAAUUACUGGGCGUAAAGCGUGCGCAGGCGGUUUUGUAAGUCUGUCGUGAAAGCCCCGGGCUCAACCUGGGAAUUGCGAUGGAGACUGCAAGGCUUGAAUCUGGCAGAGGGGGGUAGAAUUCCACGUGUAGCAGUGAAAUGCGUAGAGAUGUGGAGGAACACCGAUGGCGAAGGCAGCCCCCUGGGUCAAGAUUGACGCUCAUGCACGAAAGCGUGGGGAGCGAACAGGAUUAGAUACCCUGGUAGUCCACGCCCUAAACGAUGUCUACUAGUUGUCGGGUUUUAAUUAACUUGGUAACGCAGCUAACGCGUGAAGUAGACCGCCUGGGGAGUACGGUCGCAAGAUUAAAACUCAAAGGAAUUGACGG